rnacentral:lncRNA from 1 species
CACACGUGGGUGUGCAUUCUCCCCCCACACCUUCUGUGCAAAGCUGGGAGCUCACUCCACUGCGUCUUGCUUUUUUUCACUUGGCAGAUCUUGGAGAUUGUUCCACAUCAGUACAUAAAGUACAUAAAGAUUGUCACCCCACAAAUACACACCAAGUCCUAUUUUCAUCAGCGAUAAAAAAGAAAAGUUCUUGCUUUCCGGAAGCUUGCAUGCGGCUCUGAGUACCCAGUGACACCAGAUGGUACUCAGCGUUUUGCAAGGGAUUACCACAAGGCCCCGUGAUGGUGCCUGCCAUGGUUAGGACAGGCUGGUGGCUGGGUAGGGUUAGUGAGACCCAGUGGAGAGGAUGCUGUGUGUCACAGGCUGGAGAGGUGAGACCAUUGAGGUAGUCAGUUGUAGAGGAAAGAAACCAGCAAGAGGGGAAAAUCUGUUGGGAUGCUGCUUUUAGCCUUUGAUGGCGUGUUCCAGGCAGAGGGAAUAAGCAAAUAAAUGGGUCCUGAGACAAGGGGUUACUGUGAUGAGGCGGCGUUGGUUACAUGCCAAACCUUGCUAGGGAUUUUAAUAACAACAUUGAAUCUUAACCUGAUGAAAUAACAGUACUCCUGGGGAGGCGGGAGGGAUAGCAUUAGGAGAUAUACCUAAUGCUAAAUGACGAGUUAAUGGGUGCAGCACACCAACAUGGCACAUGUAUACAUAUGUAACAAACCUGCACGUUGUGCACAUGUACCCUAAAACUUAAAGUAUAAUAAAAAAAAAAAGCUUGCAAAAAAAAUAUAACAGUACUCCUUAAAUUGUUAAAAGUCAUGAAAGUCAAGGACAGGAGAUUAAGGAGGCGUGAAAACUAAAUGCCCAUUGUGGUAUCCUGGAUUGGAUUCUGGAACCAGAAUAGGGUAUUAGUAUAAAAACUAGUGAAAUAGGAUAAAGGCAGGGCACAGUGGUUCACGCCUAUAAUCCCAACACUUUGGGAAGCCGAGACAGGAGGACGGAUUGAGCCCAGGAGUUUGAGACCAGCCUGGGCAACACAGGGAGACCCCGUCUCUACAAAAAAUAAAAAAUUAGCUGGGCAUGGUGGCACACGUCUGUACUGCCAGCUACUUGGGAGGCUGAGGUGGGAGAAUUGCCUGAGCCUGGGAAGUGGAGGCCGCAGUGAGCUGUGAUUGCAUCACUACAUUCAGCCUGGGUCACAGAGCAAGAUCCUAUCUCAAAAACUAAAUAAGUAAAUAAUAAAUUAAAAAAUAUGAAUAAAGUCUGGAGUU